UACGUAGGUGGCAAGCGUUGUCCGGGAAUUAUUGGGCGUAAAGCGCGCGCAGGCGGUCCUUUAAGUCUGAUGUGAAAGCCCACGGCUCAACCGUGGAGGGUCAUUGGAAACUGGGGGACUUGAGUACAGAAGAGAAGAGUGGAAUUCCACGUGUAGCGGUGAAAUGCGUAGAGAUGUGGAGGAACACCAGUGGCGAAGGCGCUCUUUGGUCUGUAACUGACGCUGAGGCGCGAAAGCGUGGGGGAGCAAACAGG
rnacentral:rRNA from 1 species